GUUAACAAGACUGUUCUGUUUUUAAAUGAGAUUUAUGUACAUUUGAGAUCUAGGAAUGGACAUCAGAACCGAGGGGGAAGCUGUCAAGUUCUUUAACUGUAAGGAGGGCUUGAUGACAACAAACUCUGCCCGUGAAAAAAAAAAUGGUAUUCAGAGCAGUAAACAAGCCAGAGGAACCUUGAGCAGAAGACAGCUGUUAUGGGCGCAUGAUGUCACAAACCUGUCAAGACUUUUUAUUCUUAAAGAACAACAACGGCAUCUCGAGCCAACACAGGAUGUGACUGGAGUAGAAGACAUCGGCUGGACGCGUCUGGCGAGGGGUGGUGAAGGAAUUUAUUCAAGCCCCAUGUAGUUUUUGCAGCUUUUGGAUAUUGAGGUACAGUAAAUUGAAGUAUGGGAUGAAGUAUUUUGUAUUUCCAUUAAACUGGUCUUGGAUUUAUGCACACCGGUGUCCGGCAAUAUGAGGGUCAGUGACAUUUUACUAAUGCAGGCUCGGGCGCCCGCUUACUCAUGGGCGUUUUCCAUCGCCUGCCGUUAAAAUAUGGCAGAUUGAAGAUUUUACUGCAACAGCACAUGAUCAGUAAUUAAAGGGUGGUUAAAAAGCUCGUGAAAAAUUCGUUAUCAUGUAUCGUUAAUAUGGAAAAAAUAUAUAUAUUACAAAGGCACAUAAGGAAUACUGGAC
rnacentral:lncRNA from 1 species